GACGAACGCUGGCGGCGCGCCUAACACAUGCAAGUCGAACGAGCGAGAGAGAGCUUGCUUUCUCGAGCAAGUGGCGAACGGGUGUGUAACGCGUGAGGAACCUGCCUCAAAGAGGGGGACAACAGUUGGAAACGACUGCUAAUACCGCAUAAGCCCACGGCUCGGCAUCGAGCAGGGGAAAAAGGAGCAAUCCGCUUUGAGAUGGCCUCGCGUCCGCUGAGCUAGUUGGUGGGGUAACGCCCCACCAAGGCGACGAGCGGUAGCCGGACGGAGGGGGUGAAGGGCGACAAGGGGGGGGAGAGACGGCGACGACGCCUACGGGGGGCGGCAGAGGUGGGGAUUGGUCAAAGGGGGGAAACCUCAUGCAGCAGUUCGGUGGGGAGGAGGAAGGUGUUCGGAGGGUAAAAAGCUUUGGGCGGGGAAGAAGAAAGUGACGGUACCUACAGAAGAAGCGACGGCUAAAUACGUG
rnacentral:rRNA from 1 species